rnacentral:rRNA from 1 species
GACGAACGCUGGCGGCGCGCCUAACACAUGCAAGUCGAACGGAGCUGAGAGAAGCUUGCUUUUCUUAGCUUAGUGGCGAACGGGUGAGUAACGCGUGAGUAACCUGCCCUGGAGUGGGGGACAACAGUUGGAAACGACUGCUAAUACCCAUAAGCCCACGAUCCGGCAUCGGAUUGAGGGAAAAGGAUUUAUUCGCUUCAGGAUGGACUCGCGUCCAAUUAGCUAGUUGGUGAGGUAACGGCCCACCAAGGCGACGAUUGGUAGCCGGACUGAGAGGUUGAACGGCCACAUUGGGACUGAGACACGGCCCAGACUCCUACGGGAGGCAGCAGUGGGGGAUAUUGCACAAUGGGGGAAACCCUGAUGCAGCGACGCCGCGUGGAGGAAGAAGGUUUUCGGAUUGUAAACUCCUGUCGUUAGGGACGAUAAUGACGGUACCUAACAAGAAAGCACCGGCUAACUACGUG